rnacentral:rRNA from 1 species
CGCGUAGGGAUUUGUCGUUGGGUGGGGGACAACCAUGGGAAACUGUGGCUAAUACCGCAUGACGCCUAUGGGCCAAAGGUCCAGCGAUGGACCGCCUGAUGAGGAGCCUGCGUCCGAUUAGUUAGUUGGUUGGGUAAUGGCUGACCAAGGCGAUGAUCGGUAGCUGGUCUGAGAGGAUGAUCAGCCACACUGGGACUGAGACACGGCCCAG